rnacentral:rRNA from 1 species
AGCAGCCGCGGUAAUUCCAGCUCCAAUAGCGUAUAUUAAAGUUGCUGCAGUUAAAAAGCUCGUAGUUGAAUUUCGGGACCAAUAUGUCGGUCGUGCUUCGGUACGUACUGGCAUCGUUGGUUUCUCCCUUCUGACGAACCAUGAUGUCAUUUAUUUGGUGUCGUGGGGAAUCAGGACUGUUACUUUGAAAAAAUUAGAGUGUUUAAAGCAGGCUCACGCUUGAAUACAUUAGCAUGGAAUAAUGAAAUAGGACGUUUGAUUCUAUUUUGUUGGUUUCUAGGAUCGACGUAAUGAUUAAUAGGGAUAGUUGGGGGCAUUAGUAUUCAAUUGUCAGAGGUGAAAUUCUUGGAUUUAUUGAAGACUAACUACUGCGAAAGCAUUUGCCAAGGAUGUUUUCAUUAAUCAAGAACGAAAGUUAGGGGAUCGAAGACGAUCAGAUACCGUCGUAGU